rnacentral:rRNA from 1 species
GUGUGACUCGUCACACUAUCAUUAACUGAAUCCAUAGGUUAAUGAGGCGAACCGGGGGAACUGAAACAUCUAAGUACCCCGAGGAAAAGAAAUCAACCGAGAUUCCCCCAGUAGCGGCGAGCGAACGGGGAGGAGCCCAGAGCCUGAAUCAGCAUGUGUGUUAGUGGAAGCGUCUGGAAAGGCGCGCGAUACAGGGUGACAGCCCCGUACACAAAAGCGCAUGUGCUGUGAGCUCGAUGA